UACGGGGGGGGCAAGCGUUGUUCGGAAUUACUGGGCGUAAAGGGCUCGUAGGUGGCCAACUAAGUCAGACGUGAAAUCCCUCAGCUUAACUGGGGAACUGCGUCUGAUACUGGAUGGCUUGAGUUUGGGAGAGGGAUGCGGAAUUCCAGGUGUAGCGGUGAAAUGCGUAGAUAUCAGGAGGAACACCGAUGGCGAAGGCAGGUCUCUGGGCCAUAACUGACGCUGAGAAGCGAAAGCAUGGGGAGCGAACAGG
rnacentral:rRNA from 1 species